CGCACAUUUCCAGACACAAAAAUCAUCCCAUAAAUCACGCGAAAAAAAGACAACAAAAUCUGAAAUCGCCAUCUCUUGUCUUCUUGAGCGAGUUUCGGUAUGAUAAAUCGACAUUCAGUAGAGAAUAUUAAAUGGGCAAUGGUGCUACCUGCACAUAUCAUUCUAGAGAUUCUAAUAGGUAGGCGUCUCUCGUAAUGAAAAUGAUUAAUAAGAAAUCUCAGUUUGUUAGUGUUAUUGUUGUAGUCUUGGGCUUAUAUUUAUGUGGAAAAGUCAGGUCAUUGUCGAGAAGAAGCUGAAUGGGGCGACGGAAACUGGCGGGCGGCCAGUGCGCGUGCGUCAUACCAAGUUUACUUGUAUUUUUGCGUCUAAACAACAACACAUGUUUGUGUAUAUGAACCAUAGUGAUUAUCGGGACUGACUGAAGAAAGUCUGGGCACGAGUUGAGAGUUUUACGUCCUAUGAAUUUGUUGACAGACGCGUCUCAUCUAGAUGUAUGUAAUGUGGGUGUGUACUUCCUAUGUAGGUGUGUAAAUUGGGCGCACUUUGUUGCAUUUUGUAAUACAUAAUUGAAUGUGAUUAGUAUUUUAGGAAGGUGGGCAAUGUACAACUAUGUUUACAGGUAAAAGGGCAUUUAAUGACUUGUAUUGUUUCUCGUUUUUAUUUGGGAUAGCUUUUGCCCGCGACUUCGUUCGCGUGGAAUAGUGACUUCCGGCAAAUUUUUGGUUUUAACCACAUAGUUCCCGAUCUCGCGGGAUCUCUUCAAAAAUGAGAUGUGGAAGAUAUUCCAGGGAACUCUUCAAAAAUCAACAUAAUGAGCUCUGCGUUUGAAUUUAAUAGAUGUAUACUCACUUAGGGCAUUGAAAAAAUAGUUUAAAAACGGACUUAAACUAACUUAAAACUAAAGAAAGCUACGAAUUACGAAUUUAUAACAAUUAAAAAAGAAACUAUAUUACAACCUAUCCUCUAUGCUAUAAUAACCAAGCUUAAACUAAAUAAUUUAAAAGAAACGACUUAAAUCUAAUCUAAUUAAUUUAUAAAUUAGACUUACAAUUUUAUUAAAAAAACUAACUACAGUAACUACUAAUAAUCGAUAUCAAACUAAACCUACGUUAAAUAGUUUAACCAAAAAACCAGAAAAACCCAACAAAUAAACUUAUUAAUUGACAAAUACAACGAAACCAAUUUAGAAUAUACGAAACAGCAGGACCACUACAGACAAAUAAUCAUACGACUGAUAAUACACUUCUUUUACGAUAGUACCGAAGCGCUCGGCCGAUACCCAACCAAAUGAAUGUAAUCUAUCCUAUGUCCUUUCUAAGGUUCUAAACUAUAUCUGUACCAAAUUUCAACCAAAUCCGUCAAAUAGUUGCGGAGAUUAAUGGUAUAAGCAUAGAAUGUUCGACGUGAUUCUUUAAUUUGACAUAACUUUUUUAUUUAUGAACCGAUUGACAUGAAACAAACACUAAAUGUAAAUUUAAGCAUCCCACAAUAUAUUCGUGAAAACCGCAUCCAACUCGGAUCAGCCGUUUCUGAGAUUAGCGCGCACAGACGAACAGACAAACAGACAAACAGACAAACAGACAAACAGACAAACAGACAAACAGACAAACAGACAAA